CCGGUAAGUGUUGGGCACAUUCUGAGCAAGGUGGCUCAAACACAGAGGAGUGUCAACAUUUUUACUGGCCUCGGUGCCUUUUACAACAGACUGAUAAGCAUAAAAUUAGCAGAUCAAGCUUUCACAGUUUUUGGUGCUAUUCCACACUGAGUGAUGGUCUGCUCUGACCAGUAGGAGGCAGGCUAUACCAAGGGUUCUUCUAGAUGCCCUUCAGGAUCAUCCCUCAAGCCAUUGGACAAAUGGGCAGGUUCUCAGACAGUCCCAAUCAGGGUAGGAGGAGUGCUCAGCCAGGGUAGGAGAGCCAGGCAUGCUCCUGAUUGUGAACUGGGAAAGCAAGGUAGGAAGAGGGGACAGUGAUCUCCCUCCUGGGUAGGACAGUUUUUGGUUAAAUACUGGGGAGAAACUCCCACCUUCCAUACGAUCACUCUCCCCUUCUCCGACCUUGCUUUUUGAGCUUAUACGACUCGAUCAAGAGUGUGCCUAGUUCUCCUAUCCUAGCUCAGCGCUACCUGAUGAGGAUCAUGUGAACCAGUCUUAAUUUCUUCCAAAGCAUCCCUCAAAGACUGAAAAGAUGACUUGGAAUCCAAGGGUCAUAGCUUAAGAACACAAGAUCCUGUGUUGGAUCAGACUGAAGACCAAACAUCUUUUCCCCCAUAGUAGCCAGACAGACUUCUCUGGGAAACCCACAAGCAGAACGUGAAGAUAAUAGUGCUCUUCCAUUGUUCCAGCAACGGGUCUUCAGAGGCAUGCUGUCCCUGAACCUAGAGGACUGACAUCAGUUUUCCCAACAAUGUGUUUUUUGGCUUUAAAAGCUGCAUCACAUCAUGCAGAAAAGGACUCAACAGCUGGCUUUCCUCACUGGAGAAAAUAUAACCUUGGGGAAGUGAUAAAAUUCUGAAUAAGUUCAUUUGAUUAAAAACUCCACUUUCCACUUCCACACAGUGGAAUCAAGACUGUUGCCUGCCUGAGACUGAGAGGCAGAAUUUAAGGGAAACCCAAGUAGACUGCAAAUUGCUCCAAGAGGUUCUCUAACUAAGCAAACGAGCAACAAAAUGGCAACUGAGGUUCAAUAUAAGUAUAAAGCGGUGCACACUGAAGUAAAAGACACUAGUUUCACACAUACUCAAAUGGGUCCUGUAGUGGCAGGAUUAUUACAAUUUAUAAGGAAUUGAGUUGAAAUUUUUUAUUAUUUAUUUAUUUGCAUUUUAUAUCCCGCUCUUCCUCCAAGGAGCCCAGAGCGGUGUACUACAUACUUAAGUUUCUCCUCACAACAACCCUGUGAAGUAGGUUAGGCUGAGAGAGAAGUGAGUCACUCAGUGAGUAUCAUGGCUGAAGUGAGGCCCAGAGUCCCUCAGCAAGUAUCAUGGCUGAACGGGGAUUUGAACUCGGGUCUCCCUGGUCCUAGUCCAGCAUGCUAACCACUACACUACACUGGCUCAUACAUAAAAUGGGCUGACCCAAAUAAAAUCGGCAGUAUCAUAAUGCCUAUAUUAACCGCCCUGAGCCAUUUUGGAAGGGCGGUAUACAAAUAAAAUAAAAUAAAAUAAAUGUGUGUGUGUGUGUGUGUGUGUAGAUAGAUAGAUAGAUAGAUAGAUAGUAAGUAUUUGGAUUACUAUGUUUAUAGUUACCCUUUCUCACUGAGCAAAGAUACAUCUUUUAAAGUGGUGAUUAUCUUAUCUUUAGCAGGGGGAGAGCAACAAACCCAUAGCCAAGAGGUGGCUAGGAGGUGACACAUGCACCCCGCCCCUAGCUGCAGUUGUCCCCGCCCCCCCAGACAAGUUCUCUGUGACUCCUGAUUUCUCUUCUUUCAGUCAGGAGGAGUGCAACUGGUCCUAUCCAACCCCAGCAGAGCGUCCCUUCAGUGGCUGUUGCUGGUGUCUACCUUAUGUUUCUUUUUAGACUGUGUGAGCCCUUUAUGGGGUCAGGCAACCAUCAUAUUUAUGUACUAGCUUUAAGUACCCAGCGUUACUCGGGCUUAUGGUGCGAGUUUCUCUUUGUUAUUGCAUCCAUUGUGGAUAUACCCGUUGUAUAGCCAUCUGUCUAUGCUAGGUGGUUGUUGGGGUUCACAGGUACCCUAUGUUACUUGUAGGGUCCUAGGAAGCAACUGUGAAAGGUUUGGUCCCAAUAGCUCAAAGGGUGUGGGGAAUUUAUAGAGGAAAGACAGACAGACAGACAUUCAAUUUUAUAUAUAUACAAGAAGAUUUUCCUGUGUAAAUUGCUUCAAGAACUUUGGUUGAAGACCAGUAUAUAAAUAUUUGUAGUAGGAGUAGAUCUCAAAAAGGAUAUUGCAGAAUCAAAAAGGAUAUACUGUACUAUAGGGGGAAACAGGGUGCUGAACUAGACGUGCUCUUUCUCUGUAGCUGCCCUGAGCCUAUGCAUAUUUACUCCCAAGGAGCAUAAGCUUUGGCUACAACAUUUUGCAGUUUACUAGGGAUUGUCUUAUGGGCUUCACUGAAAUUUAUUUAGCCUUGGAAAGGAUAUUUAGCUGCCGUGACGUGUCUGUACCUACAAAGAUUAGAAUCGUUGGGACAAUGUUUUUCCCCAUGACACGCUAUGGAUGCAAAAGCUGGACUUUGAAGAAGCAAGAUAGAAAAAGUAUUGUUUGUCGCUUUUGGACUUUGGUGCUGGAGAAGACUUUUGAGGAUACCAUGGACAGCCAGGAAAACAAACAAAUGGAUCAUGGAACAGAUCAAUCCAGAAUUUUCACCGAGGCACAAAUGACCAGGCUCAAACGAUCAUAUUUUGGACACAUCAUGUGAAGACCCAGCUCCCUUGAGGAAUCCGUAAUGCUGGGGAAAGCGAAGAAGCGGAUGACCAGCAGCAGCAAAGCGAUCACGAAUGCACCACUGAUAGACAUUAAAGGCCAAGUGGAAGACAGAUCAUCCUGGAGAGAAUCUAGCUAGGUGGGCGCUAAGAGUCGACACCGACUUGAAGGCACUUAAGCAAGCAAGCAAGCAAGCAAGCAAGCGUACAUAAGAUUCCCUUGUGACAAAACGACAAAGAGGAAAAGCUGUGCUUUGGCAGCUGGAUCCUGUAAACAUUUACCCCGAGGAAAGUCUUGCUGAGCGAGACAGCUUCCAAGUCAGCAUGCAUUGGAUCAUCGCAGCCAGAAGGCAUUCUGAUGCUGCUACUUUCACCAGUUAAAAAUCCCCUAGGCAAAGUUUUCCUAUGAAUUGACAUGAGUCCUGCGAUGUUGAAACUGUCUUUUAAUCAAAGCUUUGACCUGAAUUCUCUGAGGCCUAAUAAAGAGCCUUUGGCUCCAGAUACCAGGCCUUUCUCACGCCUUCUUCACACUCUCGUCUUGUGUUGCUUUGUUAUCUUGAAACCAGCAACAGUCAUAAACUGUGUAGGCCUCUAGUUUAAUCUUCAAAGUGUCCUUGAUGUAUUCUGGCUUAGAAUGGUUCUAUGCAGUGUCAAGCAAUAACAAUGUCACUAUUGUUUGGAUGUGGAUGCUUGGUAUUGUGAUGGAUCACCAGACCAUCUUCCUGGCCUUUGAUUCGCCAGAGGUGUGGAUUUUGUAUCCUGGGAGAGAAGCUAUUACAGGGCUGCUCUCCUUUUGGGGAAUCUGUUCCUGAGAGUUGCACUUCAUUUAUCUCUAUAGUGGCAAAUAAAGGCUGAUUCCGACUCCCUUGGUGUGUGAGUAAUUGAGCAUCUCACGCGCCAGGUAAAUGUUCCCGGUUCAAGGAUAAGACUACCAAUACGAUUUAGCAUGGAGAAGCUGAUUAUCCAACGGCGGCAGCAACGUUAUUAUUUAUUCUUGUUGUUUCAAAAUUCAGUUGGUGUUUGUGUGCCGAAAACUACUACACACUAGACACUUCCGGGAGGGGAGAAACUGUAAGAUCCCCUCUAAGGAGUGGGUCUGCCCUUGUGGUUCUGGGGAAGUGGAGUCAACAGCCCAUGUUAUCUUGAAUGGUCAGUUUUAUCAAACUUUGCAGGAGAUAUACAAGUUCUUUUUUAACAGCAUACCCCAGUUGUUCUGAGCAGUUCUAUCUGGAAUUACUUUUAACAGACCAUUGGGAUGUAGUGUUUUAUAACCUGGCAAAGUAUUGUUUUCUGGUUAACAAGACUAGGAUAAGAAAUGUUGAGAAGCGAGAUAUGGGGUUGGAUUGAAUUAAAUUUUAGAUUAUUAUAAUGCACGGAGCCCUCUGUUGUAUGUAAUGGAUGAACCCGGUGUUGUGGUUCUGUUUUAUGCUUUAAUAGUUUAUUACUCUAUUUGACCACCUUCCCUUUUAUGUAAAGCUUUUGUAUUUUGUGUCUUGCUGGUCGAAGGACCCUAACAAUAAAGAUUGGAUUGGAUUUGACUAGA